GGGUUGGCUUAAUAGCCGUUGGAUUCAUCGCGUGGUUUAAGUUCAAUGGUCUCCUUAUGUUACAACCGGGUUAUAAUUUCGCCUCCAACUUAGAACCGGGUGGGUGAAACCCAAAUUAAUAAGAGCUGUACCCACGAAGUUAAACUUUGAACACCGAAACCCAUACCGCCAAGAACAAAAGCUAAACUGGUUUGGAAUCGUUGUGGGAAUUAACCAAGGUUGACGCUACCUGAAAAUCAGUUAGUUAGAGUAGAAGGGGCGAGGCCGUAUUGUUCCUCGGAACAAAGUCUCGCGAUUCUUCCAUUUCAGAAGUGACGUGUGUGAAUAUUCCCCAAGUUUGAAGUGGAAUCAUUAUUUGGUAAUCUGUCAAUGGCGUAUAGAGGGCGUGGACGUGGUGGAUUUGGAGGAGGUGGUGGCGGUUUUGGCUAUGCCAUUCAAGUUCCCUUUGAGGUUUUUCCUGAAGUUGAUUUGCCUAAUGUCAAAGGUAUAUUUGAUCCAGAGAAGAAGGUAAACAAGGGUCUGAGUGAGGAAGAAAACUUAGUCAAUCAAAGUCUCAAGUUUCAAAAAAUUUGGAAAGGCUCUCUUUUCUAUCUGGAGCAGACCUCUUCAAAGGGCUAGCAUGAUCUACUUUAAAACUCGUUGUUUAUGUUUUUUUUCUAUCAUUCAGUCAUGGAAUUGAGCAAUCUGUGAAGCAUGUUUGAUUUGAUUUUCCCUUCCUUUUCUGGCUAAGAUAUUAAUCAUGGUCGGUUGUGGAGAGCAUUCAUUCUUUUGGUAUGCUUGAAAUCAUGUUUGUUUGUUUUUUUGUAAGAAGACUAUCAACCUUGCAGUGAUGCUUCUAUGCUGUCUGCAGGUAAAGUUCUGUUGUGAAAGUCAAUAUGAUUCAUAUAUGUUGAUCCCCUUAAAAUUUUUACGGUUGAAGAUAAAAGUACAUAUUUACUGUGAAUCUGAAAUUGAUCUCACCAAGAUUUUAUAGUUAGAUGUAAGGAGAAGUUCAAACAUCCCUCCCAAAACCAACACCCAAUCUUAUGUUUGUGAACAUUAUGCAAAGUGGCAAACUAUCAUAAAAAGUUCGAUAUGAGUUUCUAAGGUGAAUUGUUCUAUAGUUUUUUCUGUCAGUUAAUUAUAUUAUAUUAUAUUGGUCCAUACUGGCAUUUUAUUUUAAUACCAUAUUGCUUUUAUUCUCCUUGUAAAUCAUUUAUUUGGCUUCUUUUGAAUUUAUACCAGAUUAUGUUGUGAUAGUAUUACACUUCUUGAACUUGUGGUUUCAGAGAGGCAAAACACAGAAGUAGAAAGAUAUUCUGACAGGUUGAAGCCAAAAACCACCAUAAGAAGCGGUCCUUUUUUUGUUAUAUUGGAGCUCAAGGGAUUUCCCCAAGAACUGACUGGAGGUUCAAGGGCACAACAACCAGGCCGAAAGAGAGUUCGAUGGAAUCCUGACUCAGU